rnacentral:rRNA from 1 species
CAGUCGCCACGGUAAUACAGAGGGUGCGAGCGUUAAUCGGAUUUACUGGGCGUAAAGCGUGCGUAGGCGGCUAAUUGAGUCGGAUGUGAAAUCCCCGAGCUUAACUUGGGAAUUGCAUUCGAUACUGGUUAGAUAGAGUGUGGGAGAGGAUGGUAGAAUUCCAGGUGUAGCGGUGAAAUGCGUAGAGAUCUGGAGGAAUACCGAUGGCGAAGGCAGCCAUCUGGCCUAACACUGACGCUGAGGUACGAAAGCAUGGGGAGCAAACAGGAUUAGAUACCCGAGUAGUCCCUGUCUCUUAUAC